ensembl:lncRNA
UUUGAGCGCUCAGUACUACCAGUCAGCUGCCAGCGGGCAGGGCUGUCACUACUGCUGAAGAAGGGGGACCUAGCUCUAUUGAGUAACGAGGCCAGUAUCGUUGCUCUGCUUGGAUUACAAAAUACUGUUGAAGUGUUUGGCAAAUCGGCUGAAAGGUUGUUUGGACAAAAUAGUUUACAGGACCAGGCAUACUCUGGACAACUUGUUUCUUUGAGAGAUGUGAUAGACAUCACUAGGAUGUAUGAUCAGGACUUGAGCCGGCCAGUCCCAGUUAGGACAGGGAUUAGGCAGGUUAGGCAGGAGCCAGAGAACCACUGCUGUAUAGGCUGAGGGAGAUGCUGCAGGGGACGUCAGUCCCAGUUAGGACAGGGAUUAGGCAGGUUAGGCAGGAGCCAGAGAACCACUGCUGUAUAGGCUGAGGGAGAUGCUGCAGGGGACGUCAGUCCCAGUUAGGACAGGGAUUAGGCAGGUUAGGCAGGAGCCAGAGAACCACUGCUGUAUAGGCUGAGGGAGAUGCUGCAGGGGACGUCAGUCCCAGUUAGGACAGGGAUUAGGCAGGUUAGGCAGGAGCCAGAGAACCACUGCUG